GUGGAAUCGGUCGCCGCUCGUCUCCCCACGUCGCAUCCCGUCGUCCCCAUCGAGCAAUCCUCUUCAUCCCUAAUUUCUUCGUCUAGAGGCGGCAUCGAUGCUCCUCGCCUCCUCCAAGAUCUUCCAUCGUAGGUCGUCGCCCAUGAUGGCUUGCCAUCUGCUAUCCCAUGCCCACAUGGUGGAUGCAUGAUCUCCUCUCCCGUCGACGCACUCCGUGUAACCGCAUCCAUCGGCGUCCGUCUCCCCGUACGGUGGCUAACCAGAUUAGCCACUGACCAGUGCCUCCGUACACGGUAGUUGGGUUUUGUUCUGUUCAAGCUCCCUCCUCGGCUGCUCCGUUCAUCUUCUCUGGAUUUCUCUGGUGAGUCCGCUGCAUUCUUUGCCUUCUUUUAUCCCCUUCUUUCACUCUUCUCCGGUCAACUGCAUCAACGGCUGCAAGAUGGAGCUGAGUUGGGAGUCUGAGCAGGCAGCAACAGGAGGAAUCAGGGAACAAGGGAGAAAAUGUGAGGAAGGAGGAAACUAGGAUACCUAAGUAAUUUGCUAAUGCAGUUUUAGGCUACCUAUUCAAAUCCCUCAUCGCAUGGUGUACAUUCACAUUCAGAUAGGAUUGGCUUGAUAUUUAGGAGGUAGGUUCAUGCUUUAUCUUAAUUUCGUUAUUUUUUUUAUUUUCACAAAAUUGUUCAAUUUGGAUACAGCUAACUUUUUCAGUCUUUAGAGGCCAAAUCAAGGAAUGCAAAUAACUAUGAAGAUGUACAGGGUUCCUUAAGCCCUCUAUUAAGGUAAAGAACAUGGAAAUCCACCAAGUAGAAUAGAAGUUAUCACAAUCUGAACUCUGUUGUAUUGCAUCUCAACCAUAACUCGAGCUGUCAACUUUCAAAGGGUUUUCAUCCUGUCUAUAUGGUCAAAUAUUGCCACUCUGUAACUAAUUAAUUGUUGUAAGGUAUGAGAUCCUCAAUCCAGUGCUUGUGUAUUAAUUUACUUAUUGUAUCAAGCUUUCCUAUUAACAAAGUUGUGGUUUCUUGUUGUUCUUGUUCUGUAUAUAUUGCAAUUCAAUAUUUUUAUAUCAGCUACUAGAUGCCAAUGAUUUUUGAAAACUGACAUGGCACCUCACUUGGUCGCAUUGACGAAACUAGAGUAAUGUUCCAUUUAAUUUCAGCGAUAUGUGCAGUUCAUUAUGAUUUCUCUAAUAUAUGCUCUGUCAAAGCCUAUGAGAUAGUUGCUAGACACUUAUAAUUGGUAGGUCGCCCAAGAUACAAGUACAAAGCAAGAGAUGUUCAUCAAAGGAUACAUGUUGUUCUGUAGGUAAGUGGCUUUCAGUUUUGUUAAAAAAACUUAUGGGAAAUUCUAGAUGUGCUACUUAAUUCACUGAAGUGUUAUCUAUAUAGAUUAUUUUCACCUCAUUAUACACGAGUUCAUGCAGGACCAACACAAAUUAUUGCCAUGCAUUCUCUAUAUUCUUCACUGUGUAUGAUACAUAACAAAUAAGUGAUAUGGUGGCAUUAAACUAUUGAGAACUUCAAUGUGGUAUUAUGUGCCCAGAUUACCCAUUUCAAUAUUAUGCAAAUGAAACAUCCUACUGAAAUAGCUAUUAUUCGGUUUUAAAUUUUUGAAGAGGACUUUACUAAAUUGUUCUUUCAUCUAGGACAGCGAUGAUAUCUGAUCAUUCUCAAUUGUUCUUGAUCUUCAGACAAGUGAAAAAUCGUAGGUCAGUUUUGAAGGACAUAUUUCCUCUUGCAAAAUACCUAUUCCUGUCUAGAGGGCCAAUCCACUAUCCUCAGCUCAGGAAAACAUAAUGGAUGAAGCUGUCAAUUGUUCCACUGAGAAACAAACACAAGAUAAGAUAAUAGGGAACAUUCAUACUGCAUUGAUCUCUGCUCUGAGUUCUGAGCAAGAGGUAAUCCUUAUGAACUUUCUUAUUUGAUUUAUUUCUGAGAUGUGCUUAUUAAAUUUUUGCAUGGUGGUAUUGGUAAUGUUAUAUUGACUAUCAGGUCAAUCUUGACGCUUCUUGAAUUGAAUCAAUGCAAAAAGAGGAUAUUUAUUUUUGCUCUUUGUAUCAUGGAGAAUUAGUAGACAUUUCAUGUUCAGAUAUUAUAGUCAUAUCUUUGGAAUGGCAAGACAAACCUAUACCCUUUUUAAGUGCUAAGCUAUACAUAAUUAUUUUUAUGUUACCUCAAAGAUGCGAUUCAGAAUAUUUUUAGGUUUUGCAAAUUGGACAUACUACAGAGUGCUGAGGAUGCAGUAACAUACAAAACCUUCGUUAGCCGCACAUGAUAUAUAAUAUAAUUGUGUUUUCAGAUGUGCCAAAUGACAUGCAUUUGUAGCUCAUCUCCUGAUGAAGGUGAUCAUCCCAGAGCUUCAGUAUUGUGCGAGCUAUUCUGAGAUACACUGCCACUAGAGUCGCUCCAAUGUAAGUUAUUUCAAGCAGUUAUGUUCUACUUGUGUGGUUAUUUGUUUAAACAAGAACUGACUGCCCAUUCACUUUAGAUUUGGGGCUCCCAUGUAAUAUUAUCCCACCUACCAUACUGUCUUAAAUCUAGCAAUGCUCAUGGUUUGGUCGGUCUUUGUUUUGUGGUGGGAAGAUAAGAACAAGGAUAUGUUUUUCUGUGUUGGCCUUGGGAUCAACCAACUGAUGUUCCAGCUAUUGCCAACUCACCGACCUAAAUGAAUUUGUAUCGCCGAUUCGUAAUAUUGAGCUUCUAAAAAUUAUCCCUACAAGGAUUGUGCAUAUUCAAUCAAUGGUGCUUGCCAUUUCUGAAAUCAGGUUCACUAAAUGGCACAAAAUGCCCCUUUGUGUUAUUUGAUAUAGUUGCAACCGUUGUGAUCGAAGAUGUUUUGCCAUAUAGUUACUACAUGCAUUGAUUCUUCCAUGCCAAAUAUCCCAGCAUGACACAUCACUCUGCCAGGAUAUAAUGCAUCUCCAACAGACUAUGUAAUCCAAGCAUGAAAACAUGCUAACUUCCUGAAUCUAACUGGAGGUGUACAUCCUUAAACCAUAGCAGUACGUCUAUAAGAGCACAAAUUUAAACAUAAAACCAAUCAAGCUCAUUACAGCUUGAAAUGUGUUACUUGUUCUGUUGUUCCCGCACAGGCUAAAUAGUAAGAUAAAUAUAACACUUUUGGGCUGUUAGACGCAUUUAUUACACCCGCACGGCGUAGCGCGCGAGACCUUUCUAGUAUUACUUUACUUAAACACCGUGGGAAUGCUGAAGAAUUAGCACGCCACGUCAGCGAUGUUUUUGCAAAAUGGUCCAUGAAUUUCCAGUUAAUUACGCGCAAGUCUCCGCUCCCCACCGUCCGAUCUCAUGUUGCGAUCGAUCUGGCCAUACACGUGUCCCGCCAUGGCGGCCCUUUCACACCCGUGGGAUCGUCGGAUCGCGAACGGACGGCAGAGAUUUCGCUAGCCCACACCAAACCCUAGCCCUCUUGCCCGCUUCGCAGCCUCUCCCUUCUCCUCCCCUCGCGUUCGUCGCCGCCGCCACCGCUGCCGGCGCAGCCGCGCAGCCCGCGCUCUUCGAGCCAUCGUCGCUGCGUGGACGAGAGGAACGCGAGCCGCCACCGCCCUCUUAUCCCUAUUCAUCCCCAUGCGGCCACCGCUUCCCUCUCCUUUGCGCUCUCCACUCCGCUAGGUGAGGUGCUCGAUCUGGUUCAGGGGCCGCCGGAAGCGAUGGUCUAGGACGCCCCACCAGUUGAUCCAGUCGCCCUUGGUCCGUCCUCCGGUGCCAGGGACACGCCGCCUUGCACGCGCUCAUUCCUGCGCUCCCUCAGCUCCUCCGUGCACCUGUCGAUCUCGCGUCCACCCCGACGGCCGGACGACCUCCCCGCAUCCCUUGCCUGUGCUCCCGCAGCCAGAUGGCCAGCUCGACGCUGCAAAGGCCAUGUUCACGUCAUCGCUUCCUCUGUACCAACGCCGCUGCCCCCAUGUGGUUCUCUGCUUGCAGUUGGGACUUUCAUGCAUUUAUUCAAGUCCCAGCUGUUCUCUGCUAGCUUGCAGUUGGUUGCCAAGGUAUCCCUCUCUAGAUGCAGGUAUUCCUCCAGUGCAUAUGGAGUGGUACAUAUCUAUGUUGUAAUUAAUCUGGCCUGUUGUUGCCAUUUCCUACGCAUCCACUAUCUUUCCCCUUCUGCGAAUCAGUCAGCUAACACAGCAUGAUAUGCACAGCCACUUGCCAAUUGUUGUGCUUCUAUUUGGACCGUAUGGAAAUUCUUUGUUGUCUUCUCUAAGAGAAUGACAGAGUAUGUAUGAUAUACUUUUGGACAAUCUUAUGUUGGGAAUAUUGAUUGAUAUGUCAUCAAAGAUUCUCCGAACUUGGCAAUCUUGGUAUAUAUCGCAUUGAACCUUUCAGUUUGUCCAUUCAAAGUCCUUUGUUUGUAGGUAUCUAGAUAACCAAAACAAUUGGAGCUGAUGACAUGGGAUUCCAAAAAAUGCACAUGCUAUAUAUGUGGAGUCUAGAGAUAUGUUUUAUUUUGUUUGAUAGGAAUCUGGAGAUGUGUAUGUUCACUAGAUGAAUGUUUGUUCAUUACAUGUGCAAUCAUUAUAUUGCAAGGGCUCAGGAACAAUGAGGUGAUGUUUUAGCUAGAAAAUCAUACAUCCAUACUAGCUAAUUUAUACCUAUAAUUUGGUCCGCCUUUGUGCUAAA